UGGGAUAAACCAGGGAGCGAGGCCGCUCGCACGAAAAAAAUCGGAUGAACCAGGGGCCCCUCGAUCUAUUCGCUACGACCAUGGGAACCAUGUCCCAGCCACCAUCGCGAUCCCUUCGCCUCCGUCAUCCAACUCAUCCCUCGACCUUUUUGCUAGGGUGUCGUUGUGGGUUCCCAGCCUCCGCCACCCUCAAGACCGUAGACGCCACCGCUGUCAUCGAGACCACGGACGCCACCGCCGUCAUCGAGACCGCCCCGCCACCUUCCCCAUGCGGGCCAUCCGCGCGUCUCCCUCCAAUCCCCUUCCCGCUGACCGCGGGGAUGCCGCCUCCUUCCAUCAUCCAUGGUGACGGCGCCCGCGUCCCACAGUGACCCUCCCCCUCCGACAGGUUUGCCGUUUGAUGGGAUGGGAGGUGCCGCUGCAGUUUGGGGAGGCACAACCAGGAUCCGGUUGGGAUCUACGUGUGGACUCGUUCGAGGCCAUGAUGCUCGACUCCUGCACCGCCGAUCUGGACAAGGAGGAGCGCCCCGAGGUGAUAACGCCAUGUCAUUGUCUCGUUUCUGUUCCCGUUGAUUAGUGAUAAUUGUGAAGUACUCCGUCCGUUUCUUUUUACUCCGCAUAUAAGAUUUGGUCAAAGUCAAACUACACAAAGUUUGACCAAAUUUAUAUAAAAAAUAUAAACAUCUACAAUAUUUAAACUAUAUAGUAUGAAAAUACAUUUUGUGGUGCAUCUGAUAAUACUGAUUUCAUAUUGUCAAUGUUUAUAUUUUUAAUAUACUAGCAAAAGAGCUCGUGCGUUGCAACGGGAGAAAAAACAACACACGCUCUUAACCCAAUAUCCAUCACUCAAAACCACAAUAGGUCCACAUCCGUUAUUUUAGCGGAGCAUCACAUUUGUAUUGCCGCUUAUCCUUCUCACCCUUGUCGGUGGUAGCCUCAGUGUUCACACAAAUUAAAGUGUGUUUGAAUGUGGUUAAUCCUAGGGCAUCUCUCUCUCCCACUCCCCCCCCUCUCUCUCUCUCUCUCUCUCUCUUUCUCGCUUUCGCAACGAGAAAUCUGUUAUUUUUCCUUUGCGAGGUUUUUCAGAGGUGUGCAUGCGUGGUUAUCGAUAUUUUCGUUCGUCUUUAUAUGGUUUUAGUUGGUGUUUAUUUGUAAUCCGGAUCGCCACGAUACGAAAGAAAAAUGGAUCAUGCUCUCUCGCGAUGAGAAAUCUGUUGUUUUUCCCUUGCGAGGUUUUUCAAAGGUGUGCGUUUGUGGUUAUCGAUGUUUUCUUUCGUCUCUAUAUGGUUCUAGUGGGUGUUUAUUUGCAAUCCGGACCGCCGCCAAUACGAUGAAAAACAGACCGUGUGCUACAUAUUAUAAGUUUGCUUCCAAAAUAAUAUUUAGAAAAUAUUUAACAAGUAAAAAUAAUAUCAUAUUCGAAUUGUACACAUUUCUAAUCAAAUUUCAUAUAUAAAAUAUUAAAACCGGAGUAAAGGUUUAAAAGAUAUGAUAAUUUAGAAAAUCAUUUGUUUCACUUAAAUAUGAUCCGCAGGUGAAUUACCUAAAAAGUAAAGGGGUUUCAAAAAAAUGUAAAAUAACGGUUCGGAUAUGAAUUGAGUGUGUAUUGUGGGUUAAUUCAUAGAAAGCAUAGGUUUUUUUUUGCGAAGUUGUGUGACCGGCUGCCAGAAGCACUCCUUAGCUUAUUAUUAGGUAUAGUAAAUAUGCCCGUGCUUCUCAACUGGUGAAAAAUUAUUAUCCCUGCAUGGCCCCAUCCUCCUACUAAAUGGCCAUGUCGUCCAAGACUCAAAAAUCAGGCUAAGGAGAUGUGGUGGAGAUAAAAAGAGUCUUUGAAAUUAUGUGCCAAAAAUGACAUAAGGAGUUAGAAAAGGCAAUUGAGACUUGAAGUGCUGCGAUGGUAUCAUGGCCUAAUUUCAUAAAAGCAUCUACGGUAUUCUUUUUUGGUCCUAUAAAAACAGCCUUCAUACACUGCAAGGAUCGAAGUUGUUGUCUUCAAGCUUGAUGUCCCUCUAGACUUAUAGUACGUCUUCAACAAAUGAACAAAUUUGAAUUAAUUGGUCUCACUUAUGAGCAAGCGUUGUACCUGGUGAUAUUUAUUAAUAGAUCGAUUAGAAGCAAGCCGAUCCAAGACAGUUGAACAAUAAAAUAUGAUGAAUCAAAAAAAUCGAAUCACUGCUUGGAAGUUAAUUAAAUGAAAAAAAGAACAAACCAAUACGAAAGAAUAAACCUUUUUUGGACACCGUCUCAUGUAAACCUACUCAUCAAGAGCUACCAACAUGUGCUAACCUUGAUGCGAGCUCAUAUGCUUGAUUGAUUAUUUGAAUGACAACCAGAUCUUUUUCUAUUCAUGCAUGUGUUGGUUUUUAGAUGUCCGUGGAGGUUUAAUUAAGAUCAAAUCCGAGGAGCCAACACCAGCAUGCAGAGCCCGGAUCCCAUAAUCACAUUUAAUUAGGAGUCAAGUACUCAUAAUCCGGCUUAAUUAGCGGUGCAGGCCCAACGGCUCAUGCAAGGGGCACGAAAAAAAAGAUAAACUACAGCCCAACACCGAUGAAAGAUACAAAUUCCCGGAUAAAUUGGACGAGCUAUCAAUAAAAAAUAUGCACAGGAACUUAGCCGAGUUGGUUAUUGCAACAAGCCCCACGUUGUUGGCCUCGGAUCGAAUCCUGGUGCCCCCGCUUUUUUCUUUUUUUUUCUAUUCUAUAUCUUUAAUUAAGACGCAAGGCUGUAAAAAUUAGUACCACCUUGCGUAUAUGUUUUAAAUUAAACUGAAAGCGUAAAAUCAUGAGAAGAAGCGUAUUGUGACGGUGAACCCACGGAGUCAAUCCGUGCUUUAUUAUUAGGGAAAGAAAAGUUAAUCAAACUUUACAAAGCUUGACUUUGACCAAACCUUAUAUGCAGACUAAAAAGAAACGGAGGGAGUACUAUCUGCGGAUACAUGAUAUUUUCGUUUCUUCACUGUCCACCUGCCUGGAUCCGGGGAGCAUGUGUCUUUAUUUACUGCUUUUGCCCCACUCGGCUCCAAAUUUAAUCAACCAUAAUAUUUGUGGGGUACCUAAAGAAAUGCAUGUUGUAAUCCGUGAUGCUUCUGGAGGUGCUGCAUUAUUUUGGGGACCAAACUAAUCCGCACUGUGGCGUUCACUGCAACUGUGCCCAUUGUUGUGAUGCUGACGCCUACUUUUUAGUGUUACCCGUGUCCCAUUUUGGUUCAAGAAAAACAUCGCUUCCUACGAUGGAGGACGCGCUGCCUCCUGGCAAAUGGGAUCGGAGGGAGGGGCUCUACCUCGUGAUGGUCAGCGAGGCAGCGGCCGAAGGGGAGCCCGGCGUUGAACACGGGUGUGGAAUGCAAUGAACUGGAGUACAAGCUCAACCCCGGCGAACUCCAGUUCCGCAAAAGAGAUUAAGAGCUCAAGGUACCAAGUUCCUAAAUGGAUCGACACCAGGGUUUCUGUCAAAGUAGUCGACAGAGAAAGAGAAGUCAUAAAUCUUUCAGGAACCGUUGUGCCGAUGAUGAUUGUUUCUGAAAUCUGAGUAUCAUCCAAAUUUAUUUCUAGAACACAGGCUGAUUUAGCAAGCUACACUCAGAGUAAAGGAAGGCUUCAUGGUCAGAAGGUACUAAGAUAUCCAACUCCUGAUCCCAACAGAUAAUUAAUAAUUGUAACAUGUGUCAUAUUGUUUUUCAUUUGACAAUGUCCCGUGUUGAAAAAAGUUCUUAGGUUUUAAUGUUUUUUCCGUUACCACCACAUCUGGGUGUUCAGGGGCAUGACUUAUCUGCAUCAGUGACAAGUUGUACCCCACCAUCCAUUGCGACCUAAAGCCAAAGCGAGAAGAGGAAAUGGAGCAACUUGGACUUCUAUGUUCUCUUGCUGCAUUCUCUGGGAAUCAUAAAUACUUGCAUAAUUAUUGAGCUGAAGGUGUUCAUCGAUAGUCUUCAUCGAUAAAUACUUGCAUAUUUGACCGCAAACAUUUUCUCGGUUGUGCCCUACUUUACUUUCUGAAUCUUGGUAAGGUGCUAGAAAAAUCUUUUUGGUGAUAUAAUGGAGGCCUAAUGAAGGUUGGAUGAUUCUGCCUGAUGAGGAUGUCCAAUAUUGCUCUCGAGAAAGUGAAACUGGUGAACCACAAGGCCCUUGCUGAAAGCUUCAGCAAGCCCACUUUUAGUAACAUCAAAAUAAGAAAUACGUAUAUAGAUAGUAAUCCUUCACUGAAAAAUUUAAUUAUAUUCUUCUGUAAAUUAGGUUGCUACACUGCACCCGAGCUAUACAGAAAUGAAGUGUUCGACAUGAGUAUGCAUAAACAUUCAGCUUCAUCCUUCACAAGGUCGGUAUAAGUUUUUGUUCCACAUGCAGUUAUUGUGCAGCGUGCACAAAUCAGCAGAGGCAGCUAUUUCAGGUAAGAUAUACUGUAUUAAUAACCAAGUAUAAUCAACGUUAUAGGCUGGCCUCAUGUUGAGAAUACUUGACAAUGAGUUUUCACAUCUACUACAGCGGUAGUAUCCCACAUUUAUUUUUCUUUUGUUUGCAUUAUCAAUCUGCUUACAUGGUUAAGGAUUUUUUUUCCCUUCCACUAGAGAGAAAUGGAUCCUCAAGUUCCAUUUUGUGGUGAUUUUCUUUUGGAGCGUUAUCAAUCAAGUUGCAUGGUAAGUAGUAGAGUUGAAGGGAUCCUAAUGUUUCCAUUUUUGGUGCUUAUCAAUUAGAUCUUCGGCUGGCAUAGUAGCUUCUGAGCACAUGUACCUAGCAGCAUCAAACAAAUACUCGGUUUCAGAGUUAAUUUCUUUAAAUCCGGCACACCAAAAUACUCAUUUGAUGCACUGCUGGGUAAUUGAAUAGGAAUUAGAAAAGGGAUGAGCAACUCAAGCGAAUAAAGGGUAGAAGAAUGAAGAAGUAAGCAGGGUGUGGAGGCAGGUCCUCUUAAGGCAACAUGGAGGUUCUAACAAACAGCGAUGCAAUAUGGAGGACUUGAUCGUUUACGUUGGAAGAAUGGACAACCUGCAGGGCAACAUGGGUAUCUCACAUCUAUCUCUUUAGGGUUCAGAUUUUUGUCUGAUCCCACCUGCCGCAAGUGCGAGACGAUUUUCUGCAGAUGCUGAGGUGGCUCAAACGGAUCUGUUGGCACCCUGUCCAUGCAUACAAUAGCAUUCCCUGCUCUCCCCGUUCGAUCAUCUGUCCAGGUACAUUUUGUUUCCUCCUUUGUUUAGUUUUAUAUUAAACUGACUGAACUAAGCAUUUUUUACAGUAUAAGCAUGGAUGAGUUGAUUGGCUCGGUUCACUUUAUAUUUCUCAUACGGAUAGGAGCAUCAAAUGGUUUCAAGCAUGCUUCCGGUUGCCUGGCAGUUGGUGAGAGAACUAUGUGAUAUUAUCCUCUCACGUAACCUGUUCUGAAGCUCAAUUUAGGUGCAAUGUCUAUACAACAGAAUACACAAGUCGAAUCAGACCGAAGGCCAAUGGUUUUGUUAUUUUGGCGAGAGUCAACAUAUUUGGACAAUGUCUAUGUAUAAUAAUGUAACUUUACUGGGUUUCUGUCAUACAUUUAUUUGAACAUUUUGAUUACUACACUAGCAUAACCUCAUUUGGUUGCUACUACAGAUUUCAACUAUGGACACAUUAUCACAGUUUUCAUGUCCUAUCGUUGAUAGAUUAUACCUUGCCCUUAGUUUUGUCAAAGUAAAGGACGCUAAAUAGAGAAGUUAUGCGUUAUUCUGUUUAUUACCCUUUCCACAUUAACCAUUUACUUGCAAUUUGAGUUCACCCAUUUUAUUUGAUUAGAAAAAGGCAGCCCGGUGCAUGUAGCUCCCGCUUGUGCAGGGUCUGGGGAAGGGUCCGAUCACUUUGGAUCUACCCAUUUUAUUUGAUUGCUUCAUUUUAAUCAAAGCACUACCUUUCUUUAGUAACUUCCCACCAUUAGCUUCCUUCAUAGUAAAACGAAACUCUUUCAAGUUUAGUGAUGGUAAGAAUUAUUACUUAUUUAGCCGAAUACAAAGCGCCGACAACUUUAUUAGAAAAGUAGAUAGAAAAGAGUAAUAACAGUUUAUUUCCCAAUGGAGCAAAACAACCUAUUAGCAAGUCCAUUUCUCUAACUCUAUUAGCAAGUCCAUUUAGUUGUUUUUUGUUUGAAGGAAGUCUAUUUAAUUGUCAGUAGUUAAUAUUGUUAGAAUUUCUUGAAAUUUUAAGAAAAUAUGCAUUUGUUAUUUUUGUUAGGUUGCACAUGUGUAUGGAGCAAUUGAUUAUUAUAAAAUGGUCCGCAGCAACGCGUGAGGUAUGGCACCAAUGAAUAUAUGAACUUGCUUGUUAGGACCAACUUAUCUGAAAAAUGUGUGAAAAGUGGGACAAUGGCGAAAUGAUUUAUAAGUAUAGUAAAAAAUGCAGUCUGGAAUGCAAAUGUAUUUCUUUUUACCAUUUUGUAUCUUGAUAUUGAUAUUCUAAUACGUCUUUCUACUACUUAGUUUAUCCAAUAGUCAAACAAACACAAAUUUGUAAAAGUGUACCAUUGAAUAAUUCAUCAAAGACCCCAGACAUAGUACUCAAGUAAUCUAAUAUCGGUGACUAACUCAAAUAAGACGAGAUU